AUACCAGACUCCUACGGGAGGCAGCAGUGGGGAAUAUUGCACAAUGGGAGGAACCCUGAUGCAGCGACGCCGCGUGGGUGAAGGAGUAUUUCGGUAUGUAAAGCCCUAUCAGCAGGGAAGAACAAUGACGGUACCUGACUAAGAAGCACCGGCUAAAUACGUGCCAGCAGCCGCGGUAAUACGUAUGGUGCAAGCGUUAUCCGGAUUUACUGGGUGUAAAGGGAGCGCAGGCGGCGCGUUAAGCCUGGUGUGAAAGCCCGCGGCCCAACCGCGGGGCUGCAUUGGGAACUGGCGCGCUGGAGUGCCGGAGGGGUAGGCGGAAUUCCUGGUGUAGCGGUGAAAUGCGUAGAUAUCAGGAGGAACACCGGUGGCGAAGGCGGCCUGCUGGACUGCGACUGACGUUGAGGCCCGAAAGCGUGGGGAGCAAACAGGAUUAGAUACCCUCGUAA
rnacentral:rRNA from 1 species